GACAAGAUACUCUGAAAAUGCAUUCGAUUCACCGUUACUUGAUUAACUGUCCACGAAAUAAACGGGAUUUUAGUGCUCACAAGUUAAUUAUACACGGGAUAUACAGCUGGUACCGCUCUACUAUUACUUAAUUAUUACACAUGCAUGCAUAUCCAGUACAGUGAUCGAUGUACUCACUCCAUUUCUUUUUAUUUCGCGUAUAAGAUUUGGUCAAAGUUAAACUACACAAAGUUUGAUCAAAUUUAUAUUGAAAAAUAUGAACAUCUACAAUACUAAAACUAUAUAGCAUGAAAAUACAUUGCAUGAUACAUCUGGCAAUAUUGAUUACAUAUUGCGAAUGUUGAUAAUUUUUAAUAUAAAGUCAGUUAAACUUUACAAAGCUUGACUUUGACUAAACUUUAUAUACAGAGUAAAAAGAAACGAAGGGAGUACUACAAGAAAUCACUCGUAAAAACAUGGGUUACAUGCAGCGAUCCACUAGCUAGUUAUAAUUCAGUAAGUCACUUGGCUCCCCAGAUUAGCUUGUUGUGGAGUACGUACGCUCAGAGCCACCAGACGAGCGCCGCGGCCGCGAGGGAAACGGCGCCGGGAACACUCCAGCCGACCCCGCGGCCGGCACGAGAACCAGCCGGCGUGCUGUGUCCGCCCGCCCCCGGAAUAAUCGCAGCGCCGCCGCCGCCUCCCCUCCGGCCGCCGCUUCCGCCGCCUCCUGUCCCGUCACCUUCUCCGUC
rnacentral:lncRNA from 1 species